rnacentral:rRNA from 1 species
AGCAGUCGCCGCGGUAAAACGGAGGGUGCAAGCGUUAAUCGGAAUUACUGGGCGUAAAGCGCACGCAGGCGGUUAUAUAAGACAGAUGUGAAAUCCCCGGGCUCAACCUGGGAACUGCAUUUGUGACUGUAUAGCUAGAGUACGGCAGAGGGGGAUGGAAUUCCGCGUGUAGCAGUGAAAUGCGUAGAUAUGCGGAGGAACACCGAUGGCGAAGGCAAUCCCCUGGGCCUGUACUGACGCUCAUGCACGAAAGCGUGGGGAGCAAACAGGAUUAGAUACCCGCGUAGUCCCUGUCUCUUAUAC